UACAGAGGGUGCAAGCGUUGUUCGGAAUUAUUGGGCGUAAAGGGAGUGUAGGCGGUUUGGUAAGUCUUCUGUGAAAUCUACGGGCUUAGCCUGUAACGUGCAGAGGAAACUACCGAGCUUGAGUGUCGGAGAGGAUAGGGGAAUACCCAGUGUAGAGGUGGAAUUCGUAGAGAUUGGGUGGAACACCAGUGGCGAAGGCGCCUAUCUGGCUGACAACUGACGCUGAGACUCGAAAGCAUGGGGAGCAAACAGG
rnacentral:rRNA from 1 species